rnacentral:rRNA from 1 species
CCCUUAGACGUUCUGGGCCGCACGCGCGCUACACUGACCAGUGCAACAAGCAUCCGUCCUUGGCCGACAGGCUCGGGCAAUCUUUGAACGCUGGUCGUGAUUGGGAUAGACCUUUGCAAUUAUGGGUCUUCAACGAGGAAUUCCUAGUAAACGCAAGUCAUCAGCUUGCAUUGAUUACGUCCCUGCCCUUUGUACACACCGCCCGUCGCACCUACCGAUUGAAUGGUCCGGUGAAAUCUCGGGACGGCGGCUCGGUCGCUUGCGUCCGACUGCUGAAACUUGAUUAAACCAUAUCAUUUAGAGGAAGGUGAAGUCGUANCA